UACAGAGGAUGCAAGCGUUAUCCGGAUUUAUUGGGUUUAAAGGGUGCGCAGGUUGUUUGAUAAGUCAGUGGUGAAAGUCUGUCGCUUAACGGUAGGAUUGCCAUUGAUACUGUUGGACUUGAAUAUGGAUGAGGUAGGCGGAAUGUGUAGUGUAGCGGUGAAAUGCAUAGAUAUUACACAGAACACCGAUUGCGAAGGCAGCUUACUAAUCCAUCAUUGACGCUGAGGCACGAAAGCGUGGGGAUCAAA
rnacentral:rRNA from 1 species